rnacentral:rRNA from 1 species
CCUACGGGUGGCAGCAGUGAGGAAUAUUGGUCAAUGGACGAGAGUCUGAACCAGCCAAGUAGCGUGAAGGAUGACUGCCCUAUGGGUUGUAAACUUCUUUUAUAUGGGAAUAAAAUGUUCCACGUGUGGGAUUUUGCAUGUACCAUAUGAAUAAGGAUCGGCUAACUCCGUGCCAGCAGCCGCGGUAAUACGGAGGAUCCGAGCGUUAUCCGGAUUUAUUGGGUUUAAAGGGUGCGUAGGUGGAUUGUUAAGUCAGUUGUGAAAGUUUGCGGCUCAACCGUAAAAUUGCAGUUGAAACUGGGAGUCUUGAGUACAUGAGAGGUGGGCGGAAUUCGUGGUGUAGCGGUGAAAUGCUUAGAUAUCACGAAGAACUCCGAUUGCGAAGGCAGCUCACUGGACUGCAACUGACGCUGAGGCUCGAAAGUGUGGGUAUCAAACAGGAUUAGAUACCCCGGUAGUC